GAUGAACGCUGGCGGCGUGCCUAACACAUGCAAGUCGAACGUGAGAGGGUAGCAAUAUCCUUGAAAGUGGCGCACGGGUGAGUAAGACGUAGGUGACCUGCCCUGGAGUGGGGGAUAACAGCUAGAAAUGGCUGCUAAUACCGCAUACAGCCAAGACACUGGGAAGUGACUUGGCCAAAACUCUGGUGCUUCAGGAGGGGCCUGCGGCCGAUUAGCUAGUUGGCGGGGUAAGAGCCCACCAAGGCAGUGAUCGGUAGCUGGUCUGAGAGGACGGUCAGCCACACGGGAACUGAGACACGGUCCCGACUCCUACGGGGGGCAGCAGUGAGGAAUAUUGGGCAAUGGGCGGAAGCCUGACCCAGCAACGCCGCGUGGAGGAAGACGGCCUUCGGGUUGUAAACUCCUUUUACGGGGGAAGAGGAAGGACGGUACCCCGAGAAUAAGUCACGGCUAACUACGUGCCAGCCGCCGCGGUAACAC
rnacentral:rRNA from 1 species